GAUGAACGCUGGCGGUGGGCCUAACACAUGCAAGUCGAACGACCACACGGUGAGCUUGUGCCCUUGACGGUGGCGGGGGACGGGCGAGUAACACGUGGAUAACCUACUUCUUUUUCGGGGAGGAUAUCGUGAAAACGCUGACAAUAAUGCAUAAUAUGUUGUACGGCUUGGUUCAGUAGUUAUUCGCGCUUUUCCUGUUACAUUGAGACGGUGCCGCAUUAGCUAGUUGGCAAGGUAAGGGCCCACCAAGGCGACGAUCCGUAGCUGGUCUGAGAGGAUGAUCAGCCACACUGGAACUGAGACACGGUCCAGACUCCUACGGGAGGCAGCAGUAGGGAAUCUUGCGCAAUGGGCGAAAGCCUGACCGAGCAACGCCGCGUGGGUGAUGAAGGUCUUCGGAUCGUAAAACCCUGUUAUUGGGGAAGAAAAAAAGUGGAAGAAAACACCCCCGUCUUGACGGUACCUAAUGAGAAAGCCCCGGCUAACUACGUG
rnacentral:rRNA from 1 species